CUUCUCCUGCAGCACAGCCUGGAGCCCGACUACUGCAUGGUGGUAGAAAUUACAGCCCAGGAGGCUCCAUAGUGAAGGGUUGUCAGAGGAGGACACGCCUGCCCCCAGGUUCCUACAAUAUAGGAUCUGCUCAGUGGAUAUCUUCUAUAUUAGAUUAUUCUCCUGAUUGACCCAUCAAGGAUGGACAGGGACAAGAUGGCGGAGAGUAUAAUAAAUCUCACCCUAGAGAUCCUCUUCAGGCUUACUGGAGAGGACUACACAGUAGUAAAGAAGACCUCUAGUGAGCUCUGUCAGGCCCCUGUGUCUGAAGG